AGGUUUUCACACCAGUACGCAUAUAUUUACUAGUAGCGAAAGUGCCCACAAAAAUCGAGUGUCAUUUUCACUAUUUAGACAUACAAGCGGUAGAGAGUAAGAAACCCACACAUUUUUCCAUCAUUACAAAUGAUCGACCAUAUUCAUUUGCCACAACAGGAGAUGCGGGGAAUUUUAGUUCGAAUGCUGAUGUCAUUUUAACAGAUUUAGCAUCGGCAAUAAAACAAAUAUUUCCCACAGUUCCUUUGAAGUACAUAAUAAGAAAA